UACGUAGGGGGCUAGCGUUGUCCGGAUUUAUUGGGCGUAAAGAGCGUGUAGGCGGCCAGGUAGUCCGGUGUGAAAACUCGAGGCUUAACCUCGAGAUGUCAUCGGAAACAUUCGGCUAGAGUCCGGAAGAGGAAGAGGAGUACUUCGUGGUGUAGCGGUGAAAUGCGCAGAUAUCAGGAAGAACACCAUAGUGGCAAAGCAGCUUACUAAAGUAUAACUGACGCUGAGGCACGAAAGUGCGGGGAUCAAACAGG
rnacentral:rRNA from 1 species